rnacentral:piRNA from 1 species
UUCUGAGUAUGGUAAGCUGAAGGCAGCA